AUGCAGGUGGCGGCCAGGAUCAAGCGGCGGGCGACGGCGGUCUGGGAGCCUGUGACAGUGACUCUCUUUGCUGAGUCAAAGCAUCUGAAUCGGGUGGUGAGCUGUCUGCGUAUCGGAGUCGCGAGGGGGGUGUAUAACAAUAUUCAAAGAACACUUAGAAUCAAAUAUGACAAAAAAAGAAGAAACUAG